AUAAGCGCUGGGAAUCGCCACAGCUCCAUCCAGUAACAGUCUGGGCUUUCUUCGACGACAACACCUCACGGACAAAGUAAUGAUGAUGAAAGUCAAGAAGAAAGUAGAGACCGACACUAAUGCGACAAUCAAAUACCAAAAUCUCAAUGCCAGAGCGAUGAUGAUGAAGGUGAGGAAGAAGGUGGUCACUGACACUAAAGCUAUAAUCAAGUAAAAAGUGAGUUUGGUGUCAUUUCCCUCUAAAGACAUGUCUUUAAACUCUGGAACUUCGGCCAAGUUAUCUGAUAUGACUAAAUAAACAGCACAUGUAGCAGAA